GGGCUGUCUGUCUUUUCCAUCUGUGCUACAAAGUGAGCUGAGAAGGUCAGGGGUAAGUUCUACAGGCAAUACACAUGCCAGACUUUGGAGGCCAGUGUGCACAGCGAGUCCAGCCAUUCUCACAACACUAUGCACAUGUCAUGCUGGAGGGCAGAACAGCGGGUGUGCUGUCUGGAGGUCUCCUCCUGGAAUUUCAGUUGCCUAGCAACGAGAU
rfam:Tupaia belangeri cont1.628482, whole genome shotgun sequence.